rnacentral:rRNA from 1 species
GAUGAACGCUGGCGGCGCGCCUAACACAUGCAAGUCGAACGAUUAAAGCACCUUCGGGUGUGUAUAAAGUGGCGAACGGCUGAGUAACACGUGGGCAACCUGCCCCUUUCAUUGGGAUAGCCACGGGAAACCGUGGAUAAUACCGAAUACUUCGAGACUUCCGCAUGGAAGACUCGAGAAAGCUCCGGCGGAGAGGGAUGGGCCCGCGGCCUGUUAGCUUGUCGGUGGGGUAACGGCCUACCAAGGCAAUGAUGGGUAGCUGGGUUGAGAGACCGACCAGCCAGAUUGGGACUGAGAAACGGCCCAGACUCCUACGGGAGGCAGCAGUGGGGAAUCUUGCACAAUGGGCGAAAGCCUGAUGCAGCGACGCCGCGUGCGGGAUGAAGGCCUUCGGGUUGUAAACCGCUUUCAGCAGGGACGAGGCGAAAGUGACGGUACCUGCAGAAGAAGCCCCGGCUAACUACGUG